AGAGUUUGAUCCUGGCUCAGGACGAACGCUGGCGGCGUGCUUAACACAUGCAAGUCGAACGGAAAGGCCCUUCGGGGUGCUCGAGUGGCGAACGGGUGAGUAACACGUGGGUGAUCUGCCCUGCACUUUGGGAUAAGCCUGGGAAACUGGGUCUAAUACCGGAUAGGACUCCGAGAUGCAUGUCUUGGGGUGGAAAGCUUUUGCGGUGUGGGAUGGGCCCGCGGCCUAUCAGCUUGUUGGUGGGGUGAUGGCCUACCAAGGCGACGACGGGUAGCCGGCCUGAGAGGGUGUCCGGCCACACUGGGACUGAGAUACGGCCCAGACUCCUACGGGAGGCAGCAGUGGGGAAUAUUGCACAAUGGGCGCAAGCCUGAUGCAGCGACGCCGCGUGAGGGAUGACGGCCUUCGGGUUGUAAACCUCUUUCAGUACCGACGAAGCGUAAGUGACGGUAGGUACAGAAGAAGCACCGGCCAACUACGUGCCAGCAGCCGCGGUAAUACGUAGGGUGCGAGCGUUGUCCGGAAUUACUGGGCGUAAAGAGCUCGUAGGUGGUUUGUCGCGUUGUUCGUGAAAACUCACAGCUUAACUGUGGGCGUGCGGGCGAUACGGGCAGACUGGAGUACUGCAGGGGAGACUGGAAUUCCUGGUGUAGCGGUGGAAUGCGCAGAUAUCAGGAGGAACACCGGUGGCGAAGGCGGGUCUCUGGGCAGUAACUGACGCUGAGGAGCGAAAGCGUGGGGAGCGAACAGGAUUAGAUACCCUGGUAGUCCACGCCGUAAACGGUGGGUACUAGGUGUGGGUUUCCUUCCUUGGGAUCCGUGCCGUAGCUAACGCAUUAAGUACCCCGCCUGGGGAGUACGGCCGCAAGGCUAAAACUCAAAGGAAUUGACGG
rnacentral:rRNA from 1 species